rnacentral:rRNA from 1 species
UACGGGGGGGGCAAGCGUUGUUCGGAAUUACUGGGCGUAAAGGGCUCGUAGGCGGCCAACUAAGUCAGACGUGAAAUCCCUCGGCUUAACCGGGGAACUGCGUCUGAUACUGGAUGGCUUGAGUGUGGGAGAGGGAUGCGGAAUUCCAGGUGUAGCGGUGAAAUGCGUAGAUAUCUGGAGGAACACCGGUGGCGAAGGCGGCAUCCUGGACCGGUAUUGACGCUGAGGCGCGAAAGCUAGGGGAGCAAACGGG